rnacentral:misc_RNA from 1 species
GAUGAAGAACGCAGUGAAAUGCGAUAAGUAGUGUGAAUUGCAGAAUUCAGUGAAUCAUCGAAUCUUUGAACGCACAUUGCGCCCCUUGGUAUCCCGAGGGGCAUGCCUGUUCGAGCGUCAUUUCACCACUCAAGCCUGGCUUGGUGUUGGGCGACGUCCCCUUUGGGGACGCGCCUCGAAACGCUCGGCGGCGUGGCACCGGCUUUAAGCGUAGCAGAAUCUUUCGCUUUGGAAGUCGGGGCCCCGUCUGCCGGAAGACCUACUCGCAAGGUUGACCUCGGAUCAGGCAGGGAUACCCGCUGAACUUAAGCAUAUAAUAAGCGGAGGA